rnacentral:rRNA from 1 species
AACGCUGGCGGCAGGCUUAACACAUGCAAGUCGAGCGGGCGUAGCAAUACGUCAGCGGCAGACGGGUGAGUAACGCGUGGGAACGUACCUUUUGGUUCGGAACAACACAGGGAAACUUGUGCUAAUACCGGAUAAGCCCUUACGGGGAAAGAUUUAUCGCCGAAAGAUCGGCCCGCGUCUGAUUAGCUAGUUGGUAGGGUAAUGGCCUACCAAGGCGACGAUCAGUAGCUGGUCUGAGAGGAUGAUCAGCCACAUUGGGACUGAGACACGGCCCAAACUCCUACGGGAGGCAGCAGUGGGGAAUAUUGGACAAUGGGGGCAACCCUGAUCCAGCCAUGCCGCGUGAGUGAUGAAGGCCCUAGGGUUGUAAAGCUCUUUUGUGCGGGAAGAUAAUGACGGUACCGCAAGAAUAAGCCCCGGCUAACUUCGUGCCAGCAGCCGCGGUAAUACGAAGGGGGCUAGCGUUGCUCGGAAUCACUGGGCGUAAAGGGUGCGUAGGCGGGUCUUUAAGUCAGGGGUGAAAUCCUGGAGCUCAACUCCAGAACUGCCUUUGAUACUNAAGAUCUUGAGUUCGGGAGAGGUGAGUGGAACUGCGAGUGUAGAGGUGAAAUUCGUAGAUAUUCGCAAGAACACCAGUGGCGAAGGCGG